GGGGCAUUGGUGGAAGCCACACCACUGCUAGCGAGGCUCCACAUGAUGUGUGGGUGGAUCUUGCUGUGUCUACGCUGUCACACAAAACCAGCUAUCCCCAUUCCUCUGUGCCAAGUGAGUGGCAUACCUUAUGAUGGCCUUGGUGAAAACAGAGACUGUGUAUGUCCCGGGUGUCCUGGAAUCUCGGACCAUGAAAGCUCCUUCUUUACCCUGGAUUGGGUAGAAAGACCGAAAGAUACAUCCCCGCUGUGGUGAGGCCACAUCACUGAUCCACGUUCUGAAGGUGGCCCCGGCUUAUCAGCCUUUAAUACAAAGGAGAUGGAAUCGGGUGGUCUUUCAAGGGAAUUCUAGUUGCAACAGCUUGUAGUAGUGUUAAUUCCAGACGCUUCCUGAUUCAAAGUAUACGUGUCCAUUUCUUCACCUGCAAAAUGACCUUUGUAAGGUUAUUGGUACACUUGAAUAAUGUGCACAGAACAGUUCCUGGAACACAAUCCCAGGACACUGACUGCCAGGGUUAUCAGUUCUCAUUACUUAUCAUAUGCUGUGGGGUAGCGUCUGGUGGAAGCAUGAAUUAUAUUGUUUGUCUUCAUCUGAGACAUGUUUCAGUGUGUGUAUCUUUCUUUCUGUACAGAAAAGCUGACUUUGUAGAGGGGAAAUC
rnacentral:lncRNA from 1 species